GAUGAACGCUGACCGAAUGCUUAACACAUGCAAGUCUACUUGAACUUCGGUUUGGGUGGCGGACGGGUGAGUAACGCGUAAAGAACUUGCCUCACAGUUAGGGACAACAUUUGGAAACGAAUGCUAAUACCUGAUAUUAUGAUUUUAGGGCAUCCUAGGAUUAUGAAAGCUAUAUGUGCUGUGAGAGAGCUUUGCGUCCCAUUAGCUAGUUGGAGAGGUAACGGCUCACCAAGGCGAUGAUGGGUAGCCGGCCUGAGAGGGUGAACGGCCACAAGGGGACUGAGACACGGCCCUUACUCCUACGGGAGGCAGCAGUGGGGAAUAUUGGACAAGGGACCAAAAGUCUGAUCCAGCAAUUCUGUGUGCACGAUGACGUUUUUCGGAAUGUAAAGUGCUUUCAGUUGGGAAGAAAAAAAUGACGGUACCAACAGAAGAAGAGACGGCUAAAUACGUG
rnacentral:rRNA from 1 species